rnacentral:rRNA from 1 species
UACAGAGGUGGCGAGCGUUGUUCGGAUUUACUGGGCGUAAAGGGUGCGUAGGCGGCUCCGCAUGUCGGGUGUGAAAGCCCACGGAUUAUCCGUGGAACGGCAUUCGAAACUGUGGGGCUCGAGGACAGGAGAGGAGGGCGGAAUUCACGGUGUAGCGGUGAAAUGCGUUGAGAUCGUGAAGAACGCCGGUGGCGAAGGCGGCCCUCUGGACUGUAUCUGACGCUGAGGCACGAAAGCUAGGGGAGCAAACAGG